AUUGAACGCUGGCGGCAGGCCUAACACAUGCAAGUCGAACGAGUGGCGGACGGGUGAGCAAUGUCUUGGAAACUGCCCGAUCGAGGGGGAACACUACUGGAACCGGUAGCUAAUAACGCAUACCAUCGGAUGUUCCCAGAUGGGAUUAGCUAGUAGGUGGGGUAACGGCUCACCUUGGCGCAGAUCCCUAGCUGGUCUGAGAGGGUUACCAGCCACACUGGAACUGAGAAACGGUCCAGACGCCUACGGGAGGCAGCAGUGGGGAAUAGUGCACCAUGGGCGAAAGCCUGAUGCAGCCAUGCCGCGUGUAUGAAGAAGGCCUUCGGGUUGUAAAGUACUGUCAGCGGGGAGGCGUUACUCGCAGAAGAAGCACCGGCUAACUCCGUGCCAGCAGCCGCGGUAAUUC
rnacentral:rRNA from 1 species